rnacentral:rRNA from 1 species
GAUGAACGCUGACGGCGUGCCUAAUACAUGCCAGUCGAGCGAACGGACGAGAAGCCUGCUUCUCUGAUGUUAGCGGCGGACGGGUGAGUAACACGUGGAUAACCUACCUAUAAGACUGGGAUAACUUCGGGAAACCGGAGCUAAUACCGGAUAAUAUUUUGAACCGCAUGGUUCAAAAGUGAAAGACGGUCUUGCUGUCACUUAUAGAUGGAUCCGCGCUGCAUUAGCUAGUUGGUAAGGUAACGGCUUACCAAGGCAACGAUGCAUAGCCGACCUGAGAGGGUGAUCGGCCACACUGGAACUGAGACACGGUCCAGACUCCUACGGGAGGCAGCAGUAGGGAAUCUUCCGCAAUGGGCGAAAGCCUGACGGAGCAACGCCGCGUGAGUGAUGAAGGUCUUCGGAUCGUAAAACUCUGUUAUUAGGGAAGAACAUAUGUGUAAGUAACUGUGCACAUCUUGACGGUACCUAAUCAGAAAGCCACGGCUAACUACGUG